AGCGGCGGAUGGGUGAGUAACACGUGGGGAACCUGCCCCUAAGUCUGGGAUACCAUUUGGAAACAGGUGCUAAUACCGGAUAAUAAAGCAGAUCGCAUGAUCAGCUUUUGAAAGGCGGCGUAAGCUGUCGCUAAGGGAUGGCCCCGCGGUGCAUUAGCUAGUUGGUAAGGUAACGGCUUACCAAGGCGACGAUGCAUAGCCGAGUUGAGAGACUGAUCGGCCACAUUGGGACUGAGACACGGCCCAAACUCCUACGGGAGGCAGCAGUAGGGAAUCUUCCACAAUGGACGCAGGUCUGAUGGAGCAACGCCGCGUGAGUGAAGAAGGUUUUCGGAUCGUAAAGCUCUGUUGUUGGUGAAGAAGGAUAGAGGUAGUAACUGGCCUUUAUUUGACGGUAAUCAACCAGAAAGUCACGGCUAACUACGUGCCAGCAGCCGCGGUAAUACGUAGGUGGCAAGCGUUGUCCGGAUUUAUUGGGCGUAAAGCGAGCGCAGGCGGAAAAAUAAGUCUAAUGUGAAAGCCCUCGGCUUAACCGAGGAACUGCAUCGGAAACUGUUUUUCUUGAGUGCAGAAGAGGAGAGUGGAACUCCAUGUGUAGCGGUGGAAUGCGUAGAUAUAUGGAAGAACACCAGUGGCGAAAGGCGGCUCUCUGGUCUGCAACUGACGCUGAGGCUCGAAAGCAUGGGUAGCGAACAGGAUUAGAUACCCUGGUAGUCAUGCCGUAAACGAUGAGUGCUAAGUGU
rnacentral:rRNA from 1 species